rnacentral:rRNA from 1 species
GAUGAACGCUGGCGGCGUGCCUAAUACAUGCAAGUCGAGCGGACUUUCAAGAAGCUUGCUUUUUGAAAGUUAGCGGCGGACGGGUGAGUAACACGUGGGCAACCUGCCUGCAAGACGGGGAUAACUCCGGGAAACCGGGGCUAAUACCGGAUAAUAUCUUCCUUCGCAUGAAGGAAGGGUGAAAGGCGGCGCAAGUUGCCGCUUGCAGAUGAGCCGGCGGCGCAUUAGCUGGUUGGUGAGGUAACGGCUCACCAAGGCGACGAUGCGUAGCCGACCUGCGGGGGUGAUCGGCCACACUGGGAACUGGACACGGCCCAGACUCCUUCGGGAGGCAGCAGUAGGGAAACUUCCGCAAUUGACGGAAGUCUGGCGGAGCAACGCCGGGUGAGCGAAGAAGGUCUUCGGAUCGUAAAGCUUUGUUGUCAGGGAAGAACAAGUACCGUUAGAAAAGGGCGGUGUCUUGACGGUACCUGAUCAGAAAGCCACGGCUAACUACGUG